rnacentral:rRNA from 1 species
UACGUAGGGCGCAAGCGUUGUCCGGAAUUAUUGGGCGUAAAGCGCACGUAGGCGGUUUGUUAUGUCGGAUGUGAAAGCCCUGGGCUCAACCCAGGAAGUGCACUCGAAACUGUCAGGCUUGAAUAUGGAAGAGGGUCGCGGAAUUCCCGGUGUAGAGGUGAAAUUCGUAGAUAUCGGGAGGAACACCAGUGGCGAAGGCGGCGACCUGGGCCAAUAUUGACGCUGAGGUGCGAAAGCGUGGGGAGCAAACAGG